rnacentral:lncRNA from 1 species
CUUCCUCCUCCACUCCCCCGCCGCUGCUGUGGAGAACCGGAGCCACCGGUAUGGCCUGGCCCUGCCCUCCCGAAGGCCGCAGCUCCCGGGCCCGCCUCCCCAGCUGACCGCGAACUCCCGCGCGGGGUGCUCCUGGGGCGGGAGGGGCGCGCUCAGCCUCGCUCUCCCCGGGACUCUCACGCUCAAGCGCCCCGGCUUGAGGCCAGGACCCCCUAUUUCCCGGUUAUGGGACGGCCCCUUGAGGGACAGCCUCUACGAGCCCUGGAUUUAUACCCCGAGCCUGCCUUCCUCCGCUCUGGGAAGGACCCAAAAUCCAGUCCCGCUUCCUCCCCCUCCUUCGCUGUCCUUGGCCCCGAGGUGCGGAGCACCGGCGGUCAGGCGGGAUCCCGCAGGAGGCCGAGCGCUCCCUGCUCGCAGGACAGGGCGGCAGCGGAGGGAGCCCCCGCCCUCUUGGGAGGAAGCCUGAGCUCCGGGUCUCCUGGGCACCCUCCCGGGAGCGCCUUCGGGGUGGAGGCUGGUCGCCGGGCGCUGAAUGUGUCCGAGCACGCCCGGGGCGGUUUUGCACUUGGACUUCCUUUUGGGCUCUCCGGAGGCGCAUAUCCGUUCCUCCUAUUGGAUGGGGCCGGGGACCCCGAACCCACUCCGGAAGCACUGAUUUCCAGAGCUGAUGGCCGCGCCUGGUUUCCCAGCGAGUCCUCUUGGCAGCUCCCGCAGCUCCCCGCCGGGAGCACGAGUGGGAGCGAACCCAGAGCCCCGCCCAGGCCUCGGGCCUCGGCAACUCCCCACAGGUCCACGAGAUGGCGCUGCAGGCCAGGGCCCGGGCCGCGGCCUCACAGCCCGCCUCGGGCGAGAGCCGGAGAUAGACUGCGGACCCCGGCAAGCGGGGCACGGAGGCACAGCCACCGACACAGGCAGAGCCGGGUCCGGAGCCCGGCACAGGCCGCCGAGGGACCGAGGGACUCCGGGGCUGUGGACACACUGAGCGGAGGGCUUGAGGCUCGGGGUGGGGCCUUCUCCCCUGCUGCCACAACCGCCCGGCAGCGCCAGCUCGGCGACCUUCCAGGCUGCUGCAGACCCCAGCUUGUCCUCUUCUGCGCGCCCGCGGGGCUGGGCCCUCGCGUUCUCUCUGCGGGAAGUGAGCCGCCGGACUCCGGCCUCCUGGGCCCCUCCGAAGGGGGGCUGUGGCUGGCAUCCGCAGCGCGCGGGGCGCACGGCCCUAGGAGCGCGGGGCCCACUCGACGGUGAGGACUUACGGGCGGGAUAGGGGAAGGAUCGGCGGGGAUCCAGCGCUCCUCCAGCGGAGAGGGCCCCCUCGGCUCCGACCCGCCCUCCUCACCACCCUCACCCGGCUCUUCAGGGCGGGGUCUUCAGGGUCGAGGGCAGGAUGUGCCCUGUGGAGCUGCUCACCUAAGUUCCUGCCUCCAUAGGGGAGGCUUUGGGCUGCGUUAUUCCAGCGGGAGGUGGUGGGGACUGGGGAGGGCCCAGGGGUCAGCCUGAGAAUCUCGCCCUUGGAUUAAAAGCCACCAAUGCUC